UGCAAGUCGAGCGGAACGACUUAUCUGAACCUUCGGGGAACGUUAACGGCGUCGAGCGGCGGACGGGUGAGUAAUGCCUAGGAAAUUGCCUUGAUGUGGGGGAUAACCAUUGGAAACGAUGGCUAAUACCGCAUAAUGCCUACGGGCCAAAGAGGGGGACCUUCGGGCCUCUCGCGUCAAGAUAUGCCUAGGUGGGAUUAGCUAGUUGGUGAGGUAAUGGCUCACCAAGGCGACGAUCCCUAGCUGGUCUGAGAGGAUGAUCAGCCACACUGGAACUGAGACACGGUCCAGACUCCUACGGGAGGCAGCAGUGGGGAAUAUUGCACAAUGGGCGAAAGCCUGAUGCAGCCAUGCCGCGUGUAUGAAGAAGGCCUUCGGGUUGUAAAGUACUUUCAGUUGUGAGGAAGGGGGUGUCGUUAAUAGCGGCAUCUCUUGACGUUAGCAACAGAAGAAGCACCGGCUAACUCCGUGCCAGCAGCCGCGGUAAUACGGAGGGUGCGAGCGUUAAUCGGAAUUACUGGGCGUAAAGCGCAUGCAGGUGGUUCAUUAAGUCAGAUGUGAAAGCCCGGGGCUCAACCUCGGAACUGCAUUUGAAACUGGUGAACUAGAGUACUGUAGAGGGGGGUAGAAUUUCAGGUGUAGCGGUGAAAUGCGUAGAGAUCUGAAGGAAUACCAGUGGCGAAGGCGGCCCCCUGGACAGAUACUGACACUCAGAUGCGAAAGCGUGGGGAG
rnacentral:rRNA from 1 species